UCCAGUGAAGUUUUGAGAAUAUAACUACUCCUGAUGUGUAUCACUGCCUGCUUUGAGUCUAUUGAUAAAAGCACAUGCACAACCCCCCUCGUGGAUUUUUCAACACGUUUCAAGCUACAGCUGGCAGGGUCCUGAGGAGUGAGGAAACAAGACUUUGGAAAGCUUUUGGAUGCCUGUGCAGAUGGAGCCCUCAGGAGGGCAACGCGGAAGCUAGGGCAGGGCCAGGACAAAAGGUGUGAGCAGAGUCGAAUGAGUUGAGUUCCUAUUUUAAAGCCAUAGAGUCAUAUAAUUGAAAGGGUCCUUAAAAGAUGACGCUAAUCCAGCUUAAUGGGUUGGGGGUCUCCCUCAGGGGUGAUGAACAUGUUUUGGAACCAGACGGAGGUGGUGGUUGCAUCACAUUGUGAACGUACUAAAUGCCAAUGAAUUGUACACUUUAAAAUGGUUGAUUUUACGUUAUGUGACGUUUACCUCAAUUAAAAAACAAAAAAGAUCAAGUAGUCCCAUCUUCUAUUUGGAAGAUGUGGGAUGAUGGCCCAGUGUGGGGGGCAGGUCUGUUGUAUGUAGGGGAGGGGGCUUGUCUAAAGAUAAGUCUAGGAUGCAGACAAGUCUCCACCUACCACCCCUCCACCUAAUCCUUUCCACAUCUCUCAACAGCCUUGUUAUGUCUUAAGACUGUAGUCUUGGGCUGAAUGUACAUCAC